CCUACGGGAGGCUGCAGUGGGGAAUAUUGCUCAAUGGGGGAAACCCUGAAGCAGCCACGCCGCGUGAGGGAAGACGGUUUUAUGAUUUUUAACCCCUUUUUUUAAGGAAGCUACUCCCGGUAUCUGAAGACGAAGCGCCGGCUAACUACGUGCCAGCAUCCGCGGGAAUCCGGAGGGUGCCAGCGUUACUCGGAAUUACUGGGGGUAAAGGGGGCGUUGGCGGGAUAGCAGGUCCGAUGUGAAAUCCUCGGGCUUAACCAUAGAACUGCAUUUGAAACUGUUAUUCUAGAGUAGGGGAGAGGUAGGCGGAAUGCGUGGUGUAGGGGUAAAAUGCGUAGAGAUCACGAAGAACACUGAUUGCGAAGGCGACAUGCUGGAACCUAACUGACGCUGAAGCGCGAAAGCGUGGGGAGCGAACAGGAUUAGAUACCCUUGUAGUC
rnacentral:rRNA from 1 species